AGAGUUUGAUCCUGGCUCAGAUUGAACGCUGGCGGCGUGCUUAAUACAUGCAAGUCGAGCGGUAACAGGUGUAGCAAUACAUGCUGACGAGCGGCGAACGGGUGAGUAAUGCUUCGGAACCUGCCUAGUAGUGGGGAAUAACUAACCGAAAGGUUAGCUAAUGCCGCAUACGACCUAUGGGUGAAAGCGGGGGAUCGUAAGACCUCGCGCUAUUAGAUGAGCCGAAGUCGGAUUAGCUAGUUGGUGAGGUAACGGCUCACCAAGGCGACAAUCCGUAGCUGGUCUGAGAGGACGACCAGCCACACUGGGACUGAGACACGGCCCAGACUCCUACGGGAGGCAGCAGUAGGGAAUAUUGGACAAUGGGGGCAACCCUGAUCCAGCGACGCCGCGUGUGUGAAGAAGGCCUGCGGGUUG
rnacentral:rRNA from 1 species